AUUGAACGCUGGCGGCAGGCCUAACACAUGCAAGUCGAGCGAGCGGCGGACGGGUGAGUAAUGUAUGGGGACUGCCUGAUAGAGGGGGAUAACUACUGGAAACGGUGGCUAAUACCGCAUACGAUCGGAUAACCCAUAUGGGAUGAGCUAGUAGGUGGGGUAAAGGUUCACCAAGGCGACGAUUGCUAGCUGGUCUGAGAGGAUGAUCGGCCACACUGGGACUGAGACACGGCCCAGACUCCUACGGAGGCAGCAGUGGGGAAUAUUGCACAAUGGGCGCAAGCCUGAUGCAGCCAUGCCGCGUGUAUGAAGAAGGUCUUAGGGUUGUAAAGUACUGUCAGCGGGGAGGCGUUACCCGCAGAAGAAGCACCGGCUAACUCCGUGCCAGCCGCCGCGGUAAUUC
rnacentral:rRNA from 1 species